rnacentral:rRNA from 1 species
AGAGUUUGAUCCUGGCUCAGGAUGAACGCUAGCGGCAGGCUUAAUACAUGCAAGUCGAGGGGGCAGCAAUGUCACCGGCGGACGGGUGCGUAACGCGUAUGGAACCUACCUUUAUCAGGGNGGAUAGCCCGGGGAAACCCGGAUUAAUACCGCAUAAUACAGACCAAGGCAUCUUGGNAUUGUUGAAAGAUUUAUUGGAUAGAGAUGGUCAUGCGUAGGAUUAGCUAGUUGGUAAGGUAACGGCUUACCAAGGCGACGAUCCUUAGGGGCUCUGAGAGGAGUAACCCCCACACUGGCACUGAGAUACGGGCCAGACUCCUACGGGAGGCAGCAGUAGGGAAUAUUGGUCAAUGGGCGGAAGCCUGAACCAGCCAUGCCGCGUGCAGGAAGACGGCCCUAUGGGUUGUAAACUGCUUUUACAGGGGAAUAAACCUCGCUACGUGUAGUGAGCUGAAUGUACUCUGAGAAUAAGGAUCGGCUAACUCCGUGCCAGCAGCCGCGGUAAUACGGAGGAUCCAAGCGUUAUCCGGAUUUAUUGGGUUUAAAGGGUGCGUAGGUGGCCUGUUAAGUCAGGGGUGAAAGACGGUAGCUCAACUAUCGCAGUGCCCUUGAUACUGAUGGGCUUGAAUAAACUANAGGUAGGCGGAAUGUGACAAGUAGCGGUGAAAUGCAUAGAUAUGUCACAGAACACCAAUUGC